rnacentral:rRNA from 1 species
AUGGGGAAACCCAGCAUGAGUUAUGUCAUGUUAUCGAUAUGUGAAUACAUAGCAUAUCAGAAGGCACACCCGGAGAACUGAAACAUCUUAGUACCCGGAGGAAGAGAAAGAAAAUUCGAUUCCCUUAGUAGCGGCGAGCGAAACGGGAAGAGCCCAAACCAACAAGCUUGCUUGUUGGGGUUGUAGGACACUCUAUACGGAGUUACAAAGGACGACAUUAGACGAAUCAUCUGGAAAGAUGAAUCAAAGAAGGUAAUAAUCCUGUAGUCGAAAAUGUUGUCUCUCUUGAGUGGAUCCUGAGUACGACGGAGC